rnacentral:lncRNA from 1 species
AACAUUCAACAAAUAUGAAUUGUAAUAGACACUUUUGUCCCGAACGAUUUCAGAUGUUUUACAGAAAAUUAUGGUUUUGUUUCCCUAGACCUGAAAAUGUUUGGGAGAGCAAAUCACGUGUCAGUUGAGGAGACAAAUAUUUCUGAAGCCAAAAUGGAGUCACGUCAGACUGACGACACUGAUGCAGUUCCCAGUGUCAAAAGCAAAGUCAAAGCACGUCACAGCAGCCGAUCUGGAGCUACGUCACUGGACAAACUGAAAAGAAAAACCCACCUUGUGUCCCCACAAAUGUGAGAUAAUGUACGAGUUACACACGACCCCACAAUGCCAGGAAUUGGAAGGAUCAGUUGGUGCAAGUCAAUGCUUCAGAUUGCUGCCUCAGUUCAGGGAUGACAGUGUUUCAGAUGGACCUUUACCAAGGCUCAGAAGAACAAAGAGUGUCUUUAUGAACGACAUAAUUCCAGAAUGCUCAGAAGAGCUCUAUGAUUCCUUAGAUAGUGGAGAAGAAUACAUUCCCAACUCUGAGUCAAGUGAAGAUAGCUUAUCAGAUGUUAGUUCAGUUACCAUAGCUAAAUUGAGUCCAAGGAAGAAAGUCCUCCGAGACAUUGCUUCUACAUCAAAACAUAUUGUUCCUGACAGCACUACUGUAAAUAAGGAAGAUGGAGAUAGCAGCGAGGCUGAGUGUGAGUGGACAGACGAUGAAGACUGUGCUGGCACCAGUCAGCGACCUGUUCGGAGAAAUGCUCCGGCAUGUGUGGAGGGGCAGAUGCAUGUUCCUGCUGUUAAGAAGAACAAUGGAAAAAGAGUGUAUAACAAGAGACACUACUGCCUGUACUGUGAGAAGUCAUGCAGCAAAAUUGCAAGACAUCUUCAACUGAAGCACUCUGAUGAAGGUAAAGUCCUGGAAGCCUUCAGUUUUCCAAAGGGCUCAAAGAAAAGAAAACUUCAUCUUGAUUUAAUAAGGAACCAAGGUAAUUUUGCACAUAAUGCAGCUGUCAUGAAAAAGGGGGAAGGAGAACUUGUUGCUUGCAAACGACCAUGCAAGGACAGUAAGAGAGAUGACUACAUGCACUGUGCCUACUGCCAGGGGCUUUUCAUUCGUAAGAUUCUUUGGCGACACAUAAAAGUGUGCCAGUUCCGAUCAAAAGAGGCCAGACCACAACGUGGAAAAAACAAAGUACAAGCUCUCUGUAGUUUUGCAGAACCAGCUCCAGAUGACAUUAGUGAACGAAUAUGGAAGCUGCUCAGUGUUAUGCAGGCUGAUGAAAUCACAAGUGCUGUAAAAAAUGAUCGUCACAUCAUCAGAAUUGCAGAGCAGUUGCUAAACAAAAAAGGAUCAUCUGAUGCAUCUCAAGCCUACAUUAGGCAGACUCUGAGAGAACUUGGAAGACUGUUGAUUGCUGCGUGA